UAGCGGCCGGCGACAGACGUGUCUUGUUGCAUAUCUACUUGCAUUUUCACAGGACUCGGCGGCCAUCAAACUUAGGAUUCAGCGGCCGUCCCAAACUUGCAUCGAAAACACUGGAUCUACAUCGCGCUUGGCAACGCCCCCCAUUUCAUUGAGACUUUGGCAGCACUUGGUGGCCAACGAUAGACGUGCCUUCCGACCUUUUUACCUGCAUUUUCACAGGUUUGUUUCAGCACUUUUUUUUAUUUGCUCUUACCUCGUUUCUACUGCUGCCAAGCUAGUCGACGUAGUUUUGUCAUACGGAUGAAGGGUACACGGGGCGAUGGGUGAUACUGAACAAGACAUAUGCCUCGUUUGCGAACUCGUCCUUCAAACCACUUAUGCUCAAGUGAAAUGUAAGAAUGCGGCUACUCUUAUCAGAUAGAAAAGGGCCCCGGUGUAACUGGGCCACAUGAGCAGACAAGAAGUGCUGCUAGUGGCUUUCGAAAGAACAUCUGUCCCACGUGCAAAUCUGGCACAUUCCGCAAAGGCGUAGACUGCUGACGUUUCAAGGGUUCAACCUUCCUGUUGCUUUUGCUGAAAUAAAUUGCAGGCUAGAUCUUUUAUUGCCGCAAAAUGAUGAAAUUUGAUAGCAUUGAAACGGGCAAUGAAAACGAUGCGUGAUCCUCUCGAUAGCUUUCUGAAACGGCUCGAUAGCCGUGAAAAACAAAUUGAGCAACUCCAAAAAAGAACUGGAAUAUUGGAACCUUCGAGGCCAGAUGCAGAACUCUGCCAGUUAAAUGCAAACAUGAACAACUUGGAAAUGCGUAGUAGGAGCAAAAACCCGGAGAUUCAUGUAGUGUCAUUUAAUGAACACAAAAAUCCUCUGCGAAAAAUCAAUGAGGCAGCUAUACUGAUCCAUGUUCCCGAGAUCGGUGACCAUGACAUUGAAGCAUAUCACCGGCUUCCAGCGAAGGCAAAUGAGACACCUGCUAUCUUCGUGCGCUUUCAAAGCCAAACACUGAGGGAUCUGUGGUUACAAAAAAAAGUGUACUAGAACAACGUUCUAAACUGUUUGUCAGAAAAUUUGACACGCCGGGCUAGAUCACUUUUGUGGACCGGGUGAAACAACAGGCUCGCAAAAAGCGCUUUCGAUAUGUGUGGUAUGCCAAAGGCAAGAUCCUUAUAUGACAGUCGGAUGGGAAUAUUCACAUAUGAUGAAUGAUGUCAGUUAGCUGGUCAUGUUCUCUGUGGGUUAAAUAAGUGUGCGAAUAUAACAAUAUGGCCGUCGGCUCAUGAUGGAUAACGCUGGGUGCGUGCUACAAUGCGACGAGUGGCUUGGCUCAUCCGAGGAGUGUAUUGAUUUGAAUGUGCGAUAAGUGAAUAACAAGGUAGAUGAACUUCAGAUUUUGCUAGACAGUUUUGAUAUUCUUUUCGACUUUGUUACGAUUUCAGAAUCUUGGCUCAAUAGCGACUUCUGUUUAACGUCAUUGACAGCAUUUGCUAUGAACCGUGUUAAUGGUGCAGUGGAGGUGGAUUCCUGCUAAUGAGAAAAUUGAAUGCGAAUCUAUUUCAGACCUUUGUUGUAUUACAUCUGCAGUCGAACAUACUAGUCCAUAACACAGUCUAUUUGGUGUUUUACAGACCCCUUAGUGGGGAGAUUAGACAGUUUUUUGAAUACGUAGACUCAUACCUUUCUUUCACUUCAGCGGAACAAUACGACGUUAUAUUUAAGCACUUUAAUACAAACAUGAUGUCUAGUUUUACCAAUGCAACUAAUUUUGGCGUAUUAUUAAAAAGCUUUGGAUGCAGCAUUGUUGUUAAGCAUCCAACUCGUGUUACGGCGAACUCAGAAACUAUGAUUUAAUAAUUCUUUACUAAUUUAAACGGUUAUGGUAUACACUCAGGAGUAACGUGUUGCGAAAUGAGUGACCACAUUAGUAUUUAUUCAUUUUAACGAAAAAAUCUACCUCGGUCUACACGUUUGCAUGCUUUAUAGAUACAGUGUAUUACACCCAAUACUAUGAGAAAACUUCAUGCUGAAAUAUCGGCUACACUUUGGGAUGACGUGUUCAAUGAAA